rnacentral:rRNA from 1 species
AAUACCUAGGCUGCAAGGGUUGUUCGGAAUUACUGGGCGUAAACGGCGCGUAGGCGGUUUGUUCCCGUACCAGGGAAGCAUAGGAUGCGGACGAGCAUCUGANACUGGCAGACUGAUGCAUCUUGGAGGGGGUGGUGGAAUUCGGCGUCUAGAGCUGAAAUUCGUAGNNCCCGCGAGGAAAANCGGUGGCGAAGCCGACCACCUAGGUGCGAUUGCGUGGGGAGCAAACUGGAUUAGAUACCCUGGUAGUCCACGCCGUAAUCGUACAUCUGCUGUCUGCUAGGUGUUGGGAUGGUUAAUGGUCUCCUUGCCGCAGCUAACGCACUAAGUUGACNGCCUGGGGAGUAUAGACCAUAGAUUAAANCUCACUGGAAUUCACGGGGGGAUACGCAC